GUUAACAAUAACUUACCAUGUAUUUCAAAAUGGUUAGAAGAAAGAUUUGGAAUGUUCCCAACACAAACAAUUGAUAAAUGUUUGAGGUUAUGGAUAUGCAAAUUAUCCUGAUUUGAUCACUACAUAUUGUAUGCAUGUAUCAAAAUAUCACAUGUACCCUAGAAAUAUGUAUAAUUGUCAUGUAUCAAUAAAAACAAAAAGGGCCUAUUUCUCUUUGCCUUCCUCCCCAAAUUCCCUCCUGUCCCAGAUAUGUGUUGUUCCUGGUGCUCUCCUGCCCCCCGUUCAUUCAGCACUGAGCCAGCAGGAAGGAUCUCACAGGUCAUAUCCUGAGAUCCAGCCCUCCACCCCUUCAGGUAAUAAUCCUCCUGCUUUUGGUCAUUCGUAUCCUUUGGUUCAUAGAUAUUUUGAGUCUAGUGCCUUCUAAUUGCUGACCUAAAUAAUAACCCUUGGUUUUUAAAGAUAAUACAAAGUGGAUUUCAGUAACAAUCUUGAGUCUUCACAGAAGCUAAUGAAGUCAGGGAUUCCAUGAAGCCAUCCAAGCAUAUAGAGCUCAUUUCCCUGGGUCCCUUUUCCUUAGCUCAAGGCCACACAAAAUCAGAACAUGAAUUCCAGCCCACAUUUGCAUUAUGUCGAAAUAAUUAUGAGUUACAAAUGAAGCUAACAAAUAGCUAAAUAUGUUCUAUUCAUCUACUUUGAUAAAUAUACCGCCAUAAUAACCCACAAGGUCAAAGUUGAGUGUAGAAUUCUCAGAUUCUUUGGUGCUCUGCACGAGAAUGUGGUAGCAGAAGGAGAGCCAAUCCUCAGCCCCAGGCCAAACUUUUCCCUUUCAUCGUAGGUAGCCCUGUCCUCACUUGAGAAGCCUUGCGUACCCCCGUGUGGGGGACUCCCUAGGCCCCAUGCAAGCUCCAUCCACAUUUCUCACCCCUUCAGACAGCAGAGUCUUGGGCACCAUUUGGACAAGCAGUUUGCGCUUUGAAAUAAACCCAGGGGAGAGGCCAUGCAGGCUCAGGCACAUUUGGCCAGGUGUCUGAGUGCCCAGAGUAUGGCCUAGAAGAGAACGUGAGAGCUCUGGGUGGGCCGGGGUACAGUCAGUGGAGGGCCAGAGAGGCACCUUCUCAAGCGCAGGAUUCAGGGCAGGGGUCCUCUUGCCGAGAUGGAUGGCUACGAUUGCUCAGUGCAAUGGCGCCUGCGUCAUGUCUUCUCAGCGCAUCUUUCACUCAGUCUCAGCCACCAUGGGGAGUUCCAUGGAAGCGCAGGCUUCCCCUGUGCUGCCAGUAAACUCAAGCUACACUUUCUGCCCCAGGGCAUCUCCAUUAUUUUGGAGAUUAUAGGAUUUUGGCUGAGCACAAACACACAGCCCAGAAACACUUGCAGGUUAACAGCCUCAGGGGAAGAUCUCAACCAGUGUGGGACAGGUGGGCAAAUGCUCCAGGCUCCUGUUUCAGGUGGACAGUUCGGGAAGACUUUCCGGAGACUCUCAGAAGGUUCUGGCAGAAAAGAAGUCCAUGGCAGCAGCCUCAAUAGCAUGCCUCAAUAGCAGGCCUCAGGUGAUCCGUCCACCUUGGCCUCCCAAAGUGCUGGGAUUACAGACGUGAGCUAUCAUGCCCAGCAACAUAACAUUUAUAUGCACAGGAAAGCAAAAAAUGUCGUGUGACUAGCUCUAUUGCGAUAUUCGCCUUGUUGUGGUGACCUAGAACCAAACCUGUAAUAUCUCCAAGGUAUGCCUGUACCCCUAAAAGAAGAGCUGGAGUAAGGACCUGGGUGUGGGUGGUUUAUUUGGGAAGUGAUCCCAAGAAGCAAGAGUGAGAAGUGGGGAGAGUGAGCCAGGUGAGAAAGAAAAGCCAAAAUGAUGGCAUUGUUUGAACCCCGGAGGCAGAGGUUUCAGUGAGCCGAGAUCAUGCCACUGCACUCCAACCUGGGUGACAGAGCGAGACUCCGUCUCAAAAAAAAAAAAAGUUGUGUUUACACUAUUGUAGUCAAUUAAGUAUGCAAUAGCGUUAUGUUUAAAAUAUAAUGUACAUACCUUACUUUGAAAAUACUUGAUUGCCAAAAAAUGCUAACCAUCAUCUGGUCCUUCAUCAAGUCGUAAUCAUUUUGCUGGUGCAUGGUCUUGCUUCAGUGUUGAUGGCUACUGACUUAUUGGGGUGGUGGUUGCUGAAGGCUGGAGUGGGUGUGGCAAUUCCUUAAAAUAAGAUGACAAUGUAGUUUGCUGCAUUGAUUGACUCUUCCUUUCACCAAAGAUUUCACUGUAGCAUGCUGUGCAGCUUGAUAGCAUCUUACCCACGGUAGAAUUUUUAUCAGAAUUGGAAUCAGUCCUCUCAAACCCUGCUCUAUCAACUAAGUUUAUGGAAUAUUGUAAGUCCUUUGUUGUUCUUUCAACAAUGUUGACAGCAUCUUCACCAGGAGUAGAUUCCAUCUCAAGAAACCACUUCUUUGCUCAUUCAUAAUAAGCAACUCCUC
rnacentral:lncRNA from 10 species